rnacentral:lncRNA from 1 species
UCUCCUCAUACGUCCCCCAAGGACCCUGGGCUACCGAGGGAACACUAGCUCAUAGCUUGUGACUUCAGCACUGUAUGGAAGAGAACAGGAGCAGACCCGUCUCACUGUUGGGGCAGCUGUGGACAGUCACGCGUCUAUCUUGGUUCCAGCCAGGCUCUCAGCUUGCACAGCCAGGGUGCCAGAAACUGCCCGGGCCAGAUUUUCAAACCCCUGAGGUAGGAGGAGCCACCAUCAUCCUGUUUCUCCUCUGGCCCUCACAACCUCCCCCUACUUCCAGCCUGAGAGUUCUGGUCCACUGGGGAAUGUGACCUUUGAAAGUCUUGGCCCUGUGAGCAUCUUAACCUCAGCAGCACGUUGUUUUGUUUUGUUCACAUCAUUUUCCCCCACCCAGCACAGGGCACGGCACAUAGUAGGUGCUCAAUAAACAUUUGUUGGGCCAGGUGUGGUAGCUCAUGCCUGUAAUUCCAUC